rnacentral:SRP_RNA from 1 species
GAGUGGACUAGGUCGGGCAGUUAGGCCCUGCUCGAAACCCGCGGUAUGGUCUUUAGCGGGGACCGAAGCCCGUGGACGUCCGGUCAGACGCGGCCGGGCCCCGGGAGCCGACGUGGAAGCCUCGUCCGUCGGGGACGGCGGUCGCCGGGCGGUGCCCGCAGGGGCGCUCGCCCGUCGUUGGUCGGCGGCACUGGGUCAGGCACGGAAGUGAGCAGCCUACCGUCGGACACCCGUCGCUCGAUGGGUCGCGGGGUGGAGGAGGCCACCGGGAUUCCCCGGCCGUGAACGCCGGGCAACCUCGGGGUCCACCA